GCUGUAGCUCAGCGACAGAGCAUCCGCUUCUCAUUCAGAAGGUCCCGGAUUCAAUUCCUGGCAUCUCCA